UGCAGUGCGCGCUGACAAGCGCUUCUAGGGCUUCUAUUGAGCUGUGGAAAAACUAAAACUUAUUAGAUUUGUCGAGGUGCUAGUUUUAGUCUUUCGUUAAUAUUCAAACGUGCAAGAUGCUUGCACCACUAAGCGCGUGGAAAAUUAAAAACAAAAGACACUAAUUUAAUUUACCCCUCGCAAGGACCGGCAUUGAUGUUCAAAUUCGUUAUACAACCGCAAAUAGUAUUCUUUUAUUUUAUAUGUUCAAACCUACAUAAAUAUCUCUAAGUUGAAGUUGAAUUCGGAUAUGCAAAAAAACAAACAUUUAUUAGCAAAAUGUGUGACCUUUACAUUUACCAUGUUGCUAUUUGUGGGCUAUAUUUCGGUGCCGGUGAAUGGGUAUCCUUCGAACACGUUUCGUGAUCUCGAUAUCUGUAAUCAUUGGAAUGGACGACGGCAUUUUCUGGAAUUGGGUGAACGUGGAGAUUUGCAUGCGCGCAACGUGACCACGUCGGCCUUCCGAAGUACUCUCUUCUCGCCCACAAAUCCCAGCCAAAUGAAGAAUCGCAGUAGCACCGAUAUUUGGUAUCAGUGUAAUUUGGAGCUUGUAACCUGUGCUGAAUGCGUCAUACGUAUAACGUUCAUUCACGUUAACUUCUCAAAAACAUGCGAACGCAUUGCUAAUUCCGGUAUUGGAAAAUCCUCACUUUGUCCUUGCGAACACAUACAAUUUUCAGAACCUCCAUAUGAUACAACUCUUUCGGGGCAGGAAUUCUGCGGUGAUGGCAAGGUCUUUCGCAGCAAAACGCGUACAUUGUUGCUGAAAUUUUUUUAUCGUGCCACCAACAGUCAUGUAUUUUCGCUACAAUAUUUUUCGGAAAGAAAUGUUAAGAUUGUCAGCGGCUCACCGAGACAGGCCAUAAUCAGCAACUACUCCAAAAAUGAGCCGUAUAUUAUAUCAACGCCUUAUUUCCCAAUGCCAUAUCCACGAGAUUACGGCAUCGAGCAUAUAUUAACGUGUGAAUCGGAAAACUGUCAAGUUCGACUGGAUUUUACCGACUUUCAAUUAGGGCUCACUUCCACAUUGGAGAUAUUCGAUUCAAACGGACAAAUGUUGGACUCAUAUACCGGUGAACAUUUUCGCCCGCCCAUUACUAUUAGCAACGGUAAAUCACUUUUACUUCAAUUUCGUGGAAAUGGCAAUACCGGAGUUGGGUUUCGGGGUGAAAUAACUUUUGUCUCAUCCAAACAAUUGAAAGAAGACAGAUUAGUUCCAUAUACAGAUUGUGGCGGUAUGGUAUCUGGACCAGGUGGUGCAAUCACUAUGAUGAAUAUGAUUGAAAAUAGCACUGAUGUGAGAUUCUACGACUGUAUAUGGAUAAUUAAACCCGGCAACAAUUACAUGAUGAUGAAGACACACAUAUCAUUGCGAGUUGAGGAAUUUCACGGUAUGGCUUCACGCUCCGAUCUCACCAUACGUCAAGGCACCACAUCAGAUGCAGCUGAAAUAGAGAGUGUUGUUUGGCCCAAUAAUGGUAUGAGUAAGGAAAGUCAUAUUGUACCGGUAUUAACGGGAUACUACAUCCGUUUACGUGGUGUCUUCGGUAUGUCUUCCAAAUUGGCAAUAUCAUACAGCGUGUUCAACUACUUGAUGUGGGUUUCUUACAUAGAUUGCUAUAUUGGAUCUGAAUUCCUGUGCGGUAAUAAUCAUUGCAUCUCCAUUAGGUUACACUGUGACGGUUUCGAUCACUGUGGCGACGGCUCAGACGAGCCAGAUUCAUGUGAAGAAGAUUGGGCUCAUUUGCAAAACGAUCGCCGUUGGUAUUCACAUAAACCCAAUUAUUAUUUUCCCAAAAUCGAGCAAUAUCCUGACUUGAAAACAGCAACCGGAAUUUUUAUAAUAAGCACACUGGGCAUAUUUGCCGUUUUGACGGGUUGGAUGGUCAUAUUGUAUCGGAUGGGAGUUAGAGCACGCCAUCAGCGCGAGCUGCAAAGCCAUCUGCAAACCAUCAGUGAACUAUUGGAUCGUCAAGAGGAGAUGACCCCAGAUGAACCACCAAGCUAUGAAGCACCUCCAGAUUAUGAGGAGGUUAUUAAGGUGGGCAUGGAACAUGAGAUACGUGAUGCUCGACAACGACAACGUCGUCGCCAUCAUCACCAUUGUGGGCAUGCAACAUGUGUGCCGCAUACUCAUGUAUGUGAACGUCCAACAACAUCGGCUGCCGCCGCAGCUCUUGCUGUCGGAGGCACAGUGGACACAGAUGUAGCUGGAACAGCAAUACCGGAUACAGAAAUAUGCAAUGAAUUGGCCAAUCGUAUACUGAUGGCCACGGCAGCUUGCGAAUCACGUUUACAGGCGGUGCAGGCGCGUCAGAACCGAGCUCGACUACACAGGGAUGCUGUUGCUGUCAAUCCGUGGGGAUUCCGACGUGCCCGGCAUCGCUUCCCAUUGGGUGUGAAUUAUCCCCUACCAUUGGCGAGCAACCGGAGGCCACAGCCAGCUCUGCCGGAACGCCGAGUCAACUUGAGGAACGAAGUGACGAAUUUCGAGAUGACUCACUCAAUAUAUCGCUCACUCUAGGUAUACCACAAACAACAAUGGCUCUCAGCGAAAAUAAUUCAAAUGCUUCAUCUCGACCGAAGAGCACCACUAAUUACAGCGAGCAAAGUUAUUUGAAACGUUCAUGGAUUGUGGUAAAUAAUGGUACACAUAACUACAAGGUUCAACGUUUGCGUCAUACAUUCUCGGUGCCCGAGUCAUUCCCUUUUGAUGCUUAUUGCCCCGAUGUGCUAAAUUACGGCACCAAUCUACUCCAUGAACGACACCUUUUCCUCAGCAAUGCUAGCAACUUUGGUUCGGAGCUAUCGCGAGACCCUUCUGCACACUGCAUGAACACACGGCGACACCAUCUACAACCAUAUCAACCGCAAUCAGCUCAGCAACAGCGUAACGCAAUUUUACAAGUUUGCAAUGACGAUUUAUUUAACACCACUUCUACCGAUGUUUGCAUCGCAUCUACAAUUCACAAAAACCCCCCGACUGAUGCAGGAUAUAUACGGGAUCAUCUGCUGCACAACGAAACAGAUAGCGACUGUGAGCGAAAUGUAUCUUGUUUUGGAGCGGUGACCCACCGUAUACAUGCUCGACGUUCUCACGGCAGACGUAACGUUCGCAGCAAAUCAUUCACGAACUCUACCAGCAGCCAACAACGUCAUCAUCAACGCGUCGCCAGUUGUGGUGGUGUAAUGAGAAGAAGCUCAUCGGCCGAUUUGCUAUUGCGUUUAAGUCCAACCACUUCACCUAAGAAGGAAUGCAAUAGUACGAGUGGAAAUAGACAACAACACCCAAAACAUGAAGAACUGACCUUUUUGAUUUGAGGUGUAAUCUAAAAGCAGUACAUUGGGAUGUUUGGAAUCGGAUAUUAGAUUCAAAAUCUGUAUCGAAUUAUUUUGAAAGUGAAUAUGUAACUAAUGUAGAAGUUUCAGUUCGUCAUUGGGAUCUUUUUCAGUUUUUGGAUGUGAUUUAGCUGAUAGUUUUAUAUAUUAUUAAAUUAUUAUACUCAUAAAUAUUAUUGUUUAUGUACAUAUAUAAUUUCCCUUGUUAUAUCUAUUAUCUAUGGUCAUUCAACGCCAACGGCUUCAGAUAUAUUCCUAUGGCACUUAUUUAUUUAUAAAGCAAAUAUGAAAUUAUUGUAAUUCAAUGUAUGUACCUUACAAGAAAAAAA